ensembl:lncRNA
UUUUUCUUUUUUUCUUUUUUUUUUUGCUUUUUAGGGCCGUACCUGCAGUGUAUGGAAGCUUCCAGGCUAGGGGUCGAAUCGGAGCUGCAGCUGCAGCUGCUGACCUAUGCCACACCCACAGCAUCAGUAGAUCCCUGAUCCAUUAAGUGAGGCCACAGAUUGAACCUGCAUCCUCAUGGAUGAUAGUUGGAAUCGUUUCUGCUGCACCACAGUGGGAACUCCCGCAACACUGGUUCUUAACCUGUUGCGCUGGGCCUGGAAUUGAACCUCCACCUCUGCAGCAGCCUAGGCAAGAGACAACGCUGCAUCCUUAACCUGCUGUGCCACAGCAGAAAUGCCAAACAAAUGUCACAUUCUUCAUUUUUCCAUAGUAACAACUUUAGUGUUUUAAGAUUUUCUGAUUGUUUAUAUGUAUUUGUGUGAUGAUUCUCAAACUUGUAGUGCAUCAGAAUGGCAGAGCAUUGGAGUUUCUGGUAGGUUUGAGGUAGGUAGGCCUGCGAUAGGGUUUGCGAUUUAGAAGGAAUUCCCAGGUUUCUGAUGCUGCAGGUAAUGGGGACCACAAUUCAAGAAGGACUGUGUCGGUAUAUUUGAUCCUCACAAGAACCCAGUGUGCUGCUUUUUAGGCAGAUGUAGAUGAGGAAACUGUGGCUUGUAGAAAUUUGAGAUUUUCCGAGUAGCACGUCAUGAAUUAGUGGUUGACCAGACAUGAGAACCCAUGAAGACUUUUGAGAUGUCCUCCUGCUCAGGGCAAGAGUUGAGUUCCCAAAAAAGUCUUUCUUGCUUUAAAAUGUUUGAUUAUUUUUGUUGCAUUCUACACAGAGCCAUUUUUCUGUGUAGAUACACUCUUUNNNNNNNNNNNNNNNNNNNNNNNNNNNNNNNNNNGUUUCAAAACACCCUCCAAAGAUAUAACUGAUUUUAUGCCUCAAGAUGUUCUAAAAACACUCAGUCCUUCUGUGUAAACAACAAUAUGUUAUGGGGAGUUCCCACUGUCGUGCAGCAGAAAUGAAUCCGGCUAGUAUCCGGACGCGGGUUCAAUCCCUGGCCUCGCUCAGUGGGUCGGGGACCGGUAUUGCCGUGAGCUGUGGUGCAGUUCGCAGACAUGGUUCAGAUCCUGCCUUGCUGUGGCUGUGGCUGGCAGCUGCAGCUCCCAUUCAACCCCUAGCCUGGGAACUUCCACGUGCCACAGGUGCAGCCCUAAAAAGCAAAAACAAACAAACAAAAUAAACAAAAAACUAAUAUGUUACAGUCUUCCGUUAAUCCUGAGGAAUGAUGUUGAUUUUUUUUUUAGCCCACUCGCCUAGUGUUCUGGCAAUUUUUUUCAUUCUAAUUUGCGGUGACGGUAAAGGCACAACCAUUACUUGUGGGUGCAGCCAAUGAGGAUGGAUCAUGAAUGAUCCAGGAGAAGGAAUCUUAAGAUCACAGCUCUGGUGUGUAAAACAUUUGUGUCCAGAAUGAAGCAUGAGGGCUGCUUUCUCUCCCUUCCCCACAACGUCUCUCUGAACUGGUCCAAGGUAUUCAGUAUAAAGGGCGUUUGUGGAAUGAUAACUCAAACCGAGCGUCACCCCGUAUUCGGAACUUACCUUCUGAAUGUUGCCUGGUGAUCUUAUCUCAUGUGAUGAGGAAAAUGUGGGUGCUCUUUUCUGAUACUGUUUUUUUUUUUUUUUCUUUUCCCUACCUUCCAUAUUCUCUUGUUUUUCCUCCUUCUAUUCUACUUUGACCUUGUAACUCAAAAAAGGAGUGGAGAAAAAUAAUGACAGGAGAACAAAUUGAACAUCAUGACCUCGACUGACUUCUGUUGUUAUUAAUUGUUGUAUUCUUAUUGUCUCUCUCUGUUUUGGGUGGAAAGAGGAAGACUUGAUAUGUCUUACGUAGCCUUGCUGAACAUUAAUUGAGAUCACCCUGCUGUCACAUCUGCAGCUUCCUCGGUGCUUCAGCUCCUCCACCCCUCUCGCCACACUUUUUGAAAACUUAUAAUAAGCCUUAGCAUGUGCCAGACUCGGUCUGGUGCUUUAUAUGCACUAUUUUAGUUAAUCUCCCGUCAGCCUUGUGAGUUGAGUUUUGAGGAAAUAGAGUCACAGAGGUUAUGUAACAUGACCGAGGUCUCAUACCUAGUAAGUGGUAGAGCUGGGAUGUGAAUUCAGAUCUUCUGGACUCUGAAGCUUAUGCAUUUAAGGUCUUAUUUUAUAUUAUUCCCCCUUUGAGCCCAUUACUCAGGGUUGUAUUUAAUAACAGAGAUUUCUUGAAAUAAAUUAGACUUCUCAAAAAACAAGGUCCUGGCUUUAAACUUGUUUCCUUGUUUCCUCUUGUUUGUCAGUUCUUUUUUGGAAAAAAAAAUUCUUGUGGGAUUUUUUCCACUGUGUCACAGUGGUAACCGUGGCAUCUCUGCAACACCAGGAUGCAGGUUUGGUCCCCGGCCUGCACAGUGGGUUAGAGGAUCCGGUGUUGCUGCAGCUGUGGCAUAGGUCGCAAGAGCAGCGUAGGUCACAGCUGCAGCUUGGAUCUGAUCCCUGGCCCAGGACCUCCAUGUGCUGCAGGACGGCCAAAAGAGAAAAAAAAAAAAAA